UUUUCCUUUCUUAAUAAGAGUAAAGGCUCACCAAGCAAGAUUUCUCUCAUCCCCUGCCACUCCCUGUUUAAUGCCUUUGUAACAACUACAAUUUGGUGAAUCCCGAUACUACAAUAGCCAAUUUAGGAUCAUGAUCAGAAGGUUCAGGGUACUGUUUCCUAAACUGAGAUAAAUCUCAUCAAAUAAAUGAUUCCUGCUUGAAGUGUCUCCUCUAGUGAACAGACCAUCAGUAACCACCCAAUUAUCACAACUUCUUUUCUAAAGUAAGUAAACAAAACUUCAUUUUGCAGCAUCAUCAGGUUCAACAGAGUCAGAAAAAUAAACAUAAACAGCAGAUAAGUGAAGAAUAAAGUGAAGUCCCAUAUGGGUUUUUGUUCAGACGGUCAUGCAAUGUAAUUUAAUAGAAUGAGCACUAGACAGAAAGCCAGAUUCUGGUACUUGCUUUGUUUUUCAUUGGAUUAUCAGGUUAGAUGAACUACAAAAUGAGGAAGCCAACUGGAAAUCUGGACCUAAAACAGGAUUCAUCCCCUGGGCUUGAAGUCACGCUGGGUACAAAGAUGCCCAUGAAUAAUGGCCCAGGAAAAGCCCAGGCAACUUCCCAUGAAAAAAAUUAUGACAAAGUAUAUUUCCUGGCGCUGUGUCAAGCUCUCAGGAGUGAAUAUAUGGAUAGGAAUUGUUAGGAGUUCUAGAAGAGGGAUGGAAUGCAAACAACAGCUCCCUUCCUCUCCAGGAAACAGAGACCUGAAGCCCACGAUUGCGGUUUUUGAAGACUGAACUCUCUCUGCCCUUGAGUAAGGAGGUCCAAGAUUUCUCCUUGAUAAAAAUGUGGACUGCAAUGCUAGUUAAAAGAAGCAAUUGGGGCUUUUGGUAUAGAGAAAUAUUUGGAAGCUGAAGAGACUGAGGUGGACUGGAAAAGCUUCGGAGAUGCCAAACAUCACAACUCAGAGACAGGAAAGUGGUCUGAAAAUAUAGCAGCUGCCUGGAGGUGCCAGGUGAGUGGGCUUGGAGAAGAGCCACGAUGAGGGCCACUGUUGGAGCCAUACUGAACAAACUCUUCACAGCCCUCACCAGAGGACUUUGCAGGUAAGUGGCAAUUCUGCUUCAUGUAGACAAAUAAUCAUGGGAGGUGAUUCGCAGCCUGUGAUCAAGUUCUUUUUUAUCCAAGCAAAAAUAAAUGAUUCCUGAAAAUUAUCAAAAUAAUCAAACACAAGCGGAGUCUGAGAAACUGUCACAGCCAAGAGGAAUCUUUUUUUUUUUUUUUUUUUUUUUUUGAGACGGAGUCUUGCUCUGUCGCCCAGGCUGGAGUGCAGUGGCCGGAUCUCAGCUCACUGCAAGCUCCACCUCCCGGGUUCACGCCAUUCUCCUGCCUCAGCCUCCCGAGUAGCUGGGACUACAGGUGCCGCCACCUCACCCGGCUAGUUUUUUGUAUUUUUUAGUAGAGACGGGGUUUCACUGUGUUAGCCAGGAUGGUCUCGAUCUCCUGACCUCGUGAUCCGCCCGUCUCGGCCAAGAGGAAUCUUAAAGUGACAUGAUGGCUAAAGGCAAUGUGGUACUCUAAAUGGGAUCCUGGAAAAGAAAAAGAACAUUGGGGGAAAACUACGGACAUCUGAAUAAAGUAGAGACUUUAGUUAAUAAUAAUGUAUCAGUAUUGGUUUGUUAAUUAUAAUUAUAUAGACCAUACUAAGAUAAGAUGUUAAUAAUAUAAGAAACUGGGUGUGAAGUAUAUCCAAUGUAUCUAUCUUUCCAAUGUCUUUGUAAAUCUAAAAUAGUUCUAAAAUUAAAGUUUAUUUAAAAAGAAAGAGAAGGAGAAAAACACAGACUAACCUGGGAGGAUGUGUCCUCCAAAACCCUCAGGACCCUGGAAGCACCCAGGAGACCUGAACUCAUGAAUUCCUUGAGUAUAGGAAUUGAUUCAUGCUGACAUUCUCCGUGGCCAGUGCACAGUAUCUGGUUUUAACAAGUGGUCAAUGCAUAGUUACUGAAUUAAAAUCUAUUUCCAGUAAGGAAGAAGCAAGAGGCAAUAAAGAGAAUGGUUUUCUUCUGAUGAUAAAUAAAACUGCAAACUAUAUUUUGUGUACUUAAGUUGAUUGAAAAUUUUGUAGGGAUAUCCAGUUCAACAGAGUUUACCCUGACAUUUGGAAAAAAACUGUGCUCUUAGUGCAGAAAGUAACACAAGACUCCAUUCUUUAAGAAUACUGCUAUUUUGCCAGAUGCAGUGGCUCACACCUGUAAUCCUAGCACUUUGGGAGGCUGAGGUAGGCGGAUCACGAGAUCAGGAGUUCGAGACCAUUCUGGCUAACACAGUGAAACCCUGUCUCUACUAAAAAUACAAAAAUUAGCCAGGAGUGGUGGCAUGUUCCUGUAAUCCCAGCUACUCAGGAGGCUGAAGCAGGAGAAUCGCUUGAAAACCCAGGAGGCAGAGGUCAUAGUGAGCCGAGAUCGUGCCACUGCAUUCCAGCCUGGGCAACAGAGCAAGACUCCAUCUCAAAAGAAAAAAAAAAAAAAAAUACUGCUAUUUUUUCUGAUGUUAAUCUGGAGGAAAACCAUCCUUAUAAAAACAAGGUAUUAAAAUCAGGGAAGAAAAUACACAAAUAGAGAUCGGGUACAUAAUGUCUAAUAGUUUUAAGUAACGUACAAAGGUUCAAUUUCUUUUUCAUAUAAAAGGAAGCAAACAUAUUAAAAUUCUCC
rnacentral:lncRNA from 10 species